CGCCGCCGGCCGCCGCGAUCCUCCGGCGCCUCCUUUUGUUUGUCCCUCACUGCACCACUCAGUCUCCUCCGCCCCGGAAAUGACGUCACCGCCAGGCGCGAACGCCGAGCUCAGGGUACCGCCAUGUUUAUGAAGGCGCUGGGCCUUACACUACUCUCGAUACCGCGCAUGCGCCAAGUUGCUUGCGGGUGUAAGUAGCGGUUCGGGCUCCGCCUACUUAAAGGGACCGGGACUGUUGCAACCUUGGGGAUGAGCUGAGAGACUAACGGUGAAGUACUGAAACGGAGUUUUCUAAAUUGUGACUCAGAAGGUCACACUGCAGCUGAACGACACAUGUCUUCCACAGAACAACUUGGUCAAUGGAAAGGCCCAGAUCCAGUGAUUAUGUGGGGCAGAGGUCAUGCUUGUAUUUUCCCAGAAGGUGCUUUUUGUCCUAUUUGGGUACCUGAAUGCGCCAUCAGACAUGGAGGACCUAGAACCAAGAUUCAAACGGCUGAAGAUGGACCAGAGAUGCCAGAUGUAACUUCCCUCAAAAAGAAGAACUCUUGAAGGAAGAGAAGAAGAAAGAUCCCAGAGAGACCGAAUGAGGAAGCUACCCUCAAGGGAUGACCUGAGGAGACCCACGAUUCGGGCUGCGCCAGUGACUCGGCAGCCAGGGAGAGCUAGACCCGCAACCACCACGCUCCAGCCACGAUAGCUCUGGGGAGCCUUCAAAACAAGGAUUCGGGAACUCCAAACAGUGACCCAUCACCUGCUUUUUCAAAGAAAGAAGGGGGGAUAUGUGGGGAGCCUUCCAUCCUGACGCAAGAGGCUUGACGGGUCACUGCAUUUCUUGGUGACCUGGACGUGUUGUCCUGGUUCGGAGGUUGAGGGCGUGUCUUCAGAUGUGGCUGUGUCGCCCCUUGGGUUGAAUUACACUCACCUGUCCCUUGUAACCCGCCACUUCCGGCCCUUUUUUGGACGGAACUUUCUAAGAAUAAGGAUCCCCCCAAUAAGAGCCCACUUCCCAACGUGCUGGCUCCCUCUCGCCAGCCUCUCUGGCUUUCUCUUGCUCCCCCAUGUGGGGAGCCUGAGGCUGAGAGCCGAGGGAGAAGCCAUCCUAAAGCUUGCUGAAAGGUAAAGUGUGUGUGUCUGUGUUUUAUUUGGUUUCCCUGGAAAUUCACAUGAGCGACCUUAAGUUCAGCUGCCUGUGUGGGUUGGGGGCUGCAAUUUAGGUUUUUUUUUUUUUUUAACUUGGUGCUGGGGAUUGAACCCAGUGCCUCACGCAUACUAGGCAAGUGCUCUACCACUGAGCCACAACCCCAGACCCCCUUUAUUUUUUUGAGACAGGAUCUUGCUAAGUCACUUAGGGCCUCACUAAGUUGCUGAGGCUGACUUUGAACUCAAGAUCCUCAUGUCUCAGCCUCCCAAGCUGUUGGGAUUACAGGUGUGCACCACCGUACCUGGCCUCAGGCAUCAGUUUUUUUCUUUGCCAGCUAACUUUUUUUAAUCUCUCGAGUCCCAAUUUUUUUUCUUGUAGAUUUUUUCAUAUUUACUUAUUUUUUGGUCCUGGGGAUUGAACCCAAAAGGGUUCUGCCACUGAGCUACUUCUGUUUACCCAGCCGUUUGUUUUUAAAUUUGAGGCAAGAUCUCACUAAAUUGCCAAGGCUGACCUCUAAUUUAAGGUCCUCCUGCCUCAGCCUCAUGGGUCCCUGGGAUUCCAGGCUGUGCUGCUACAUUUUGUUCAUUGACAGGGUCACUUGUUCUGUAGAAUUCGCAUCAGUUUGGAUUCAUCCACUGCGCCUCCAUGGUAAUUCAUUAUUUUUACUAUUUUUUUAUUUUUAUUUUUUGGUACUGGGGAUUGAACUCAGGGGCACUCGAACACGGAGCCACAUCCCCAGCCCUAUUUUAUAUUUUAUUUAGAGACAGGGUCUCACUGAGUUGCUUAGCGCCUCACCAUUGCUGAAACUGGCUUUGAACCCACGAGCCUCCUCCCUCAGGGCCCUGAGCCGCUGGGAUUACAGGCAUGGCCAUGUGCCUGGCUUGUUCUGUUUUCAGUCUCAUGGCCCGGUCUGGUUUAGGCUCACUUUCACAGCAGGAAUGCCACUUUCACAGUAGGUAUGUGUGUUUCCAGGGUCAGAAUGAGAGGUUGUGCUGACACUCUCUGUGAUGUUUGUAGUGAUUGAUCUCCUCACCUGGGUCACUUUUACACGGGAGCUGAUUUGGACUUUAAAAGAUCACUCUUGUUACUGGUGUGCGUAUAUGCGUGUGUGCGGGAGGGUUGUCGAGAGGACCGUGUGGUAUAUAUAAUCCUGCAGCGGAGUGCUCUGGCACGUGUCUGGCACAGUGACAUGCUGUUGUUGUUAGACUGUGUGUAGGACCCAAGUGCUGAGCUUCUGGCCUGGCGUGCUCUUCCUCUCUCCUCUGCCCCUGGAGGAGAAGUCAGCAGUGCCCCGUGGCCCUGGGAGGCAUGUUCAGGAAGGCCGGAGCCUCGCUCACCCGGUGCUUGCACCACUCUGUAAGUGUCCUCUCCCAGCACCUGCCCCUGCAUGGCCCCGGCUCCUGGGAUCUGGCGAGGUCCUGGCUUCAAGGUUGUGCGUGAGCCUGCUCCCUCAGGAAGCCUUCCCUGACUGCAGCCUGGCUGUCAGCCCUGGCUGGCUCCUGCUACCCUGCUCUAGACCUCGUAGCUGUGCAUCUGGGUGGUCAGCUUGGGUGCUGCUGCUGCCUCCCGAUCAUCCCAGUGCCCAGCCCAGUACCUGAUACACAGUAGGUGCUCCAUAAAUGUUGAUUGAAUGACUGUCAUGUGUAAAGCAUAAGAACAGGCAUUCGUUUAUCCUAGUACUGAGUGCCACACUUGAAGGUCCCUCCCUUGAGCACGCCACGUUUCUGGAAUCUCCAUGAUUUCCACCUCCUUCCUAAACCCACUGAACUCCCCUCACCUCUGUUCCUCUCCCUGCCAGUCUGUGCCCUGUGCCCCUACUCCUCCCCCACCAGCCCUGCCUAGUGCCCUCACUCCAAGGUCUGUCUCCCAACAUUCCUCCUCCCCACUGCCCCUGACUCGCCUCACUUUACCCUUUUUAUAGAACACAUCCCCAGUUCAAAAGUAACUCCAGGCUGGGCACUGUGGCACACACCUGUAAUUCCAACUACUCAGAAGGCCAAGGCAGGAGGAUGGCAUGUUCAAGGCCAAACUGCAACUUAGUGAGACUCUGUCAAAAUAAGAAAUAAAAAGAAUGGGAUGUGGCUCAGUGGCUGAGCAUCUGGGGUUCAAUCAGCAGUACCACACACACACAAAAAAAGUAGUGCAUGUAUCACUGAACCCAUGACACUGUGGGUUUUAAGAUGUGCUGUUAAUUUAUGGACUAGUAGGAGGAGCAGCUAAACUGAUACGUAGGUUAUAAGACACACCUGAAUUCAGAGAAGAUGCCAUUUGAAAAACUGUUCUUAUCAGAUGCUGGGAGCCAUUAGCCAAGUAGGUAUGACAAUUUCCUUGCCAGUGUACCCCAUGUUGCUUAGUGGAAGGACUCGUGGAAAUAGGACAUUUUGCAGUGACAUUGCAUGUAGGUGACCUUGCUCAAGGACCAGGGCGAAUCCAGGUUUAGGGUGUUCCCAGUUUAGGGCAUUCCAGGUUUAAGGUUAUUCCUGCUGGGAAUAGGGCGUAUCCUGCUGCCUGAGUUCCCCUUGAGUUCUCACGGGAUUCAGACAGUAUUUUUUGGGAGACAGAAGCCCAGUGGGUGUGAAUUUGGGCAGAGAACGUGGAUUUCCCCAGAACAUGAUUGUAGACGGCUGGUGUGAGUUCCGGAAUAAAGAGUUGCUGUUUGAA